UUGGAAAUCGCGCCUCAAUUCAAAGAAAGUUGGAGUCAGCUAUGUGAAUCGUCAGAAACAAUUACGCCUCAAUUCCAACAAAGUUGGAACUAUGACUCGAUUCCAAGAGAGUUGGAGUCGCACCUCAAUUCCAAGAAAGUAGGAGUCAGGUAUGUGAAUCGUCGCCUCAAUUCCAAUAAAGUUGGAAUCGCGCCUCAAUUCCAAUAAAGUUGGAGUCAGCUAUGUGAAUUGUCACAACCAAUUAUACCCUCGAUUCCAAGAAAGUUGGAAGUAGGACUCUGACUCCAAGAAAGUUGGACUUCGCGCCUCAAUUCAAAGAAAGUUGGAGUCAGCUAUGUGAAUCGUCAGAAACAAUUACGCCUCAAUUCCAACAAAGUUGGAACUAUGACUCGAUUCCAAGAGAGUUGGAGUCGCACCUCAAUUCCAGGAAAGUAGGAGUCAGGUAUGUGAAUCGUCGCCUCAAUUCCAAUAAAGUUGUAAUCGCGCCUCAAUUCCAAUAAAGUUGGAGUCAGCUAUGUGAAUUGUCACAACCAAUUAUACCCUCGAUUCCAAGAAAGUUGGAAGUAGGACUCUGACUCCAAGAAAGUUGGACUUCGCGCCUCAAUUCAAAGAAAGUUGGAGUCAGCUAUGUGAAUCGUCAGAAACAAUUACGCCUCAAUUCCAACAAAGUUGGAACUAUGACUCGAUUCCGAGAAAGUUGGAGUCGCACCUCAAUUCCAGGAAAGUAGGAGUCAGGUAUGUGAAUCGUCGCCUCAAUUCCAAUAAAGUUGUAAUCGCGCCUCAAUUCCAAUAAAGUUGGAGUCAGCUAUGUGAAUUGUCACAACCAAUUAUACCCUCGAUUCCAAGAAAGUUGGAAGUAGGACUCUGACUCCAAGAAAGUUGGAC
rnacentral:lncRNA from 1 species